GGCUCUGAGAGAUUGGCAUCAAGGUCAGAGAUGGAGGCCGGCCAAUAUUCAAGCACAUUUUUGAGACUAUCUUCUAUUUGAUAAUUUCGAUUCUUUUCAAAUUUUUUUGUACUUGUUAUCAACUUAAUUUUUAAAAAGCAUACAAAUUUGAGUUAAGAUCAAUGGUUCAUUAAUUAAUAAUUGAGGUUUAAAUUUAUUGUAGAAAUUACUAGGAUUUGAUUUAAGUUUAGAGUUUGGUUUAGGAUUUGGUUAGAGUUUGAUUUAGGAUUUAGGAUUUGAUUAGGAUUUGAUUUAGGAUUUAGGUUUUAAUUAGGAUUUUAUUUAGGAUUUAGGUUUUAAUUAAGGUUUAAUUUAGGAUUUAAGGUUUUAUUUGAGUUUGUUUAGGAUUUAAGAUUUAAUUAGUUUUUUGCCCAAAUUUUGAAUGAAGUCUAAUAGGAUUUU
rnacentral:lncRNA from 1 species